rnacentral:rRNA from 1 species
GAUGAACGCUGGCGGCGUGCCCAAUACAUGCAAGUCGAGCGAACGGACGAGAAGCUUGCUUUUCUGAUGUUAGCGGCGGACGGGUGAGUAACGCGUGGAUAACCUACCUAUAAGACUGGGAUAACUUCGGGAAACCGGAGCUAAUACCGGAUAAUAUUUUGAACCGCAUGGUUCAAAAGUGAAAGACGGUCUUGCUGUCACUUAUAGAUGGAUCCGCGCUGCAUUAGCUAGUUGGUAAGGUAACGGCUUACCAAGGCAACGAUGCAUAGCCGACCUGAGAGGGUGAUCGGCCACACUGGAACCGAGACACGGUCCAGACUCCUACGGGAGGCAGCAGUAGGGAAUCUUCCGCAAUGGGCGAAAGCCUGACGGAGCAACGCCGCGUGAGUGAUGAGGGUCUUCGGAUCGUAAAACUCUGUUAUUAGGGAAGAACAUAUGUGUAAGUAACUGUGCACAUCUUGACGGUACCUAAUCAGAAAGCCACGGCUAACUACGUGCCAGCAACCGCGGUAAUACGUAGGUGGCAAGCGUUAUCCGGAAUUAUUGGGCGUAAAGCGCGCGUAGGCGGUUUUUUAAGUCUGAUGUGAAAGCCCACGGCUCAACCGUGGAGGGUCAUUGGAAACUGGAAAACUUGAGUGCAGAAGAGGAAAGUGGAAUUCCAUGUGUAGCGGUGAAAUGCGCAGAGAUAUGGAGGAACACCAGUGGCGAAGGCGACUUUCUGGUCUGUAACUGACGCUGAUGUGCGAAAGCGUGGGGAUCAAACAGGAUUAGAUACCCUGGUAGUCCACGCCGUAAACGAUGAGUGCUAAGUGUUAGGGGGUUUCCGCCCCUUAGUGCUGCAGCUAACGCAUUAAGCACUCCGCCUGGGGAGUACGACCGCAAGGUUGAAACUCAAAGGAAUUGACGGGGACCCGCACAAGCGGUGGAGCAUGUGGUUUAAUUCGAAGCAACGCGAAGAACCUUACCAAAUCUUGACAUCCUUUGACAACUCUAGAGAUAGAGCCUUCCCCUUCGGGGGACAAAGUGACAGGUGGUGCAUGGUUGUCGUCAGCUCGUGUCGUGAGAUGUUGGGUUAAGUCCCGCAACGAGCGCAACCCUUAAGCUUAGUUGCCAUCAUUAAGUUGGGCACUCUAAGUUGACUGCCGGUGACAAACCGGAGGAAGGUGGGGAUGACGUCAAAUCAUCAUGCCCCUUAUGAUUUGGGCUACACACGUGCUACAAUGGACAAUACAAAGGGCAGCGAAACCGCGAGGUCAAGCAAAUCCCAUAAAGUUGUUCUCAGUUCGGAUUGUAGUCUGCAACUCGACUACACGAAGCUGGAAUCGCUAGUAAUCGUAGAUCAGCAUGCUACGGUGAAUACGUUCCCGGGUCU